UACGAAGGGGGCUAGCGUUGCUCGGAUUGACUGGGCGUAAAGGGCGCGUAGGCGGAUAGUACAGUCAGGCGUGAAAUUCCUGGGCUCAACCUGGGGGCUGCGUUUGAUACGUAUUGUCUGGAGUUCGGAAGAGGGUCGUGGAAUUCCCAGUGUAGAGGUGAAAUUCGUAGAUAUUGGGAAGAACACCGGUGGCGAAGGCGGCGACCUGGUCCGAUACUGACGCUGAGCAGCGAAAGCGUGGGGAGCAAACAGG
rnacentral:rRNA from 1 species